CAAAGUGUAGCUUAAAWAAAGCCCCCGGCUUACACCCGGAAGAUUUCGACCACUUUGA
rnacentral:tRNA from 1 species